AGGGGGCAUCAAAAAGGGUUUGCUGCCAUACUUACCGAAGAGUGAUCUGCCUGUUUUCCUCCAAGAAUUUUGAUCGUCCCUUGGAGAUGGAUGCCAUUGCGGAAACACUCUUACUCCAUUUAAAGUUCUGUGAACAGAGUUGCAGAGAAGUUUUGCAGGAUGAAGUCAGGAGUGACACAAUGUCAAGAUGAUGAAAAACACCAAAUUACCUGAAGUUUAUUGGAGCAUCCUUACAUCAUACACAUCUUCCAGAAAUGCAACUGAGAUUUGUUCUUGUGGAAAUGGUAAGUAAGCGCACCACCUGUUGUGGCGGGGAGAUCAGUGGUCCAAACACUCUGGCACCCAGCUAUUCAGUUACAAAGGAUGUCCAUGUGUCUUGGGGGUUCCUCCAGGUGAUGACCUCUCUGUCUGCUUCCAGCUAGCUGAGGUCUGUGUGCUCUUAUCAUAGCUUCAAACCCUCAUUAGAUGCCAAAAGCCAUACAGCUCUGAUUCCAAUCUGUAACCCAUGGAUUGUGGAGACAGCUGAUGUAUGGAGAGAGCAUUUAACUUGCUAUCAUGUAGCUGCACCCUUGUAAUUUCCCUCAAGGGUAGGGAUAAUUCGCACACUGGACAAAACUUGCAACUACUACCACCUAAUUCUUUUCAUGAUCUUUUUCACAAAUAGAAGAACAUGGGACUGAAAGAAAGGAGAAGAGGAGGGAGGGAGAGAGAGACCAAACUUAUUAAGACCCUAGAAUGUCAGUGCAUCUCUAUGCAGAGGGAGAUGAAGCAGUGAGUGUUUCUGAAAGGGAAAGGAAAGAAAAAAGAGGGGGAAGGGCAGAAAUAUGAAGUGUAUUGAUCAGGGUUCUCCAGAGAAGUUUCAACCAACAGAAAUGUGUAUAGGGAUAGAUAUUGGUUCAUUUUAAGGAACUGACUCAUGAGAUUUUGGAGGCACAGUUAACCCAAAAUCUGAUGGGGAGUCCAGCAGGCCUGCAGACUCAGGAACGAAUUCUGAUGAGUCCAAAGGCAGUCUGCUGGCAAAAUUCCUUUUUGCUCAGGGAAGAUCAUUCUUUGUUCUUUUACAGCCUUCAGCUGCUUUGAUGAAACCCACCCAUAUCAUAGAGGGUAAUCUUUUUUACUUAAAGUGCCCAACGAUUUAAAUGUUAAUCUCAUCCAAAACAUACCUUCACAGAAACAUCCAGAACAUCUGAUCAAGUACCUGGGCACUGAGCCCCAGCCACAUUGACACAUAAAUUAACCAUCAUAUAAAGAGAACUCGUGGUGAGGAGAAAGGCAUGUGCACAGAGAGAGAGAUGAAGUAUGUUUUUCUUCGUUUCUGGUUACUCUGUUCCAUCAUGUUGUAGCAGGAAUACUUGCGUUCCAACUAACUCAAAUACUGUAAAAUUUACACAAUGAAAAUUUCCUAAAAUAUGUCAUAAACUUUCUUUUCUAACCCUAAAGGGUUGGGAGAUAUGCAAGAUCAAAGCAGGAGUCUCUACCUAGUUUUCAUACUUAAAAUGUCCCUUUCCUCUUUGAGAAAUUUAAACUUAAUUUUGAGAUAGUUAUACAUCCACAUACAAUUGUAAGAAAUGAUAGCGCUCCUGUGUACCCUUCAUGGUUUUCACCAGUGGCAACAUCUUGCAAAAUUAUAGUACAAGAGUUUAACAAAAUUAUUCACAUUGAUACAGUCCAUUGAUUAUAUUCAGGUUUCCAAGUUUCUCAUAUAUGAAUUGUGCGUGUGUGUGUGUGUCUGUGCAUGUAUUUACCUCAUGCAAUUUUAUCACAUGGAUAUAUCCAUGUAUUCACCGCCAAAGUAAAGGCACAAAACAAGAGUUUCAUUACCAUAAGGAUCCCUCAUGUUGCCCUUUUAGUCACACCCACUUUUCUUCUGUCCCCUUAACUUCAUCUUUAAUCAAAGGUAACCCUGACUAUUUUCUUCCUAAUUUUAUCAGCUCGAGAGUAUUAUAUAAGUGGAAUCAUACAGGAUGUACCCUCUCGGGAUGGGCUUUUUCAUUCAGUGUAACUCGCAUGGUAAUUUACCUAAGUUGCUCUUUUUAUCAGCAGGGGACUCUUUUUCAUUGCUGAGUUCCUAAUAUUGAAUCAACAUUGCAUAUGAAGAAUUAAUUCUACUUGGUCAUAAGGUAUCAUUCUAUGUAUACAUGAUGGAUUGAAAAUGCUAAAUUUUUUGAGAGAGCUUGUGUGUAUCUUCAUGAGAGAUACUCAUCUACUUCCUUUGUCUGCUUUUGGUAUCAACUUAGUACUGGCCUCAUAAAAGAUUAGGAAAAGUUUCCUCUUCUAAUUUCUGGAAGAGAUGAUGGACAGUUAUACUUCCAAUGUUUUGCAGAAUACUUCAGGGAAAUCAUCUGGACCAGGACCUUUCCUUUCCAGAAAAAUUUAAAUUAUGAAUUUAGUUUCCUUAAUGAUUAUGUAACUUUUCAGAUUAUCUAUUUUAUCAGGUAUGUUGGUAUCUGACUUUUGAGGGGUUGUUCCAUUUUCUCUAGGACACAAUUCAUGAGAACAGUAAAACUGUUCAUAGUAAUCUCUCACUGGCAUUUUAAUGACUACAGGGUCUAUCAUGAUAGCCCAUUUCCCGCCUGAUAUUGAUGAUUUGUAUCUUGUCUAUUAGUUUUGUCAUAAUUACAACAGAUUAAUGAAUUGUAUUUUACCAUUUGAAGAAUGAAUUUUUUUCCAUA